CUGGGCGGGAACUGGUCGCGUCCGGACCCGCGACGGCUUCCACCCGCCUUAGCCAGUGCCAGCCGCACCGCAGUCGGAGGAAACAGACGCAGGGCCUGAGGCUCACGGACUUGAGAGGCUGCAGAAAAGGCCCAGGAGGCUGUUGAUGACAUGAACGACCACCAGGAGAAGCUGGAGCAGGCUGAUGCACAGAAGGGCGGAGAAGAGGGACACGUGCCAGACAACAGCUGCAGAGGGCUCCAGGCAGACGGAGUUCCAGAGCGAACGGUCAUAUAGAUAAUUCCUAUCCCGAAAAAUAAGGAGACCAGGGGUCGGGCGAUAAGUAAGGAAAGCCAAACAGGCAACCCCAGUAGAAAACUGGCGUCUCCCCUGACUGGGUCAUGGGACUGGGCUCGUGAGGGUGACCAUUACUGCUCCAUUUGCAAUUUUCUGAGUAUCAGAGGAGCAAGAUGCUAGGAUGUGUGACCCAAAGGAGCUUGUAGUUCAUCAGUGUGUCUUUUUGUCUCUCUCUCUCUGUCUGAAAAGACCAAGCCCAGGCCUCUACCCAUUUACCUACUGUGCAGGUCUUUGAAUGGGUAACCAUAUUUCCAAGCUUGUGUCUGAUUGAAGGACGAAACAUCAAACAUGCAAAAAGGACCAUCUUUCAGAGCAACUCCAGAAGUGACAAAGCAAAUCAGGGCUCCAAGUAAAGCCAGGCCACUUGACAACAGAGCAGUAAGCACCUGCGGAGGGAGGGCGAGACGAGUCUCGCUCUGUCACCCAGGCUGGAGUGCAGUGGCCCCAUCUCGGCUCACUGCAACCUCCACCUCCCGGAUUCAAGAUUUUCCUGCCUCAGCCUCCUGAGUUGCUGGGAUUACAGAUGAAAGCCUGAAACUGGAAAGAUGAAGCAAUUUGCCCAAGAACUUAGUGUUACUGAGGGUCACAGUGAGGACCUGACUUCAGGCCCCAAGACCAAAAUUGCCUCUUUACCACCUUAACUCUAGAGUAAUAGAGGUGGAGACAUUCUCAGUGUUAGAAGAGUGGAAUCUGGUGCUUACAGUUCGACAGAGCCCACUCUUACUGAAGCAGCCGUAUCUCCAGCCCAUCAAGAAGAUGAGGAUAGCUGCAGUGAGUACCUGCAGGAGAGAGAAGAAUGUUGAGAUGGGGAAACUGACUUUGCCAGCUGUUUCUAGGUGCUGCCCGCAGCUGUUGAAAUAAGGUGGCUGGCACCUCACAUGAACUCAAUUGUCCUGUUGACUCUGACUCUGGGGACCCACACUUGUAUGACUAGCCUGAUCUAACGCUGUGGAUGUUAACUUUCACACCUGACCUGCCUGGUCCCAAGCUAGUCUUCCUGUCUCUUAGAGCUUCUACAGAGCCAAGACCAGCUUGUCAGAAUAAACUUUCCUGCAAGGAA